GCGGUGCUCUGUUUCUUCUUUUUUUUGAUUCUGCAGAUGCACAUAGAACUCAUUUUAAUAGAUUCUGAGAGUAACCAGGAAAGCAUGAAAAACAGAAAAUCCGAAGAAUGUCACCAGCUUCCACCGCCGCAUUUCCAGCCCUGUAGAGACUUAAUUCUCCAGGCUUUCCACUGCGCCCCAAGAAACUGCUAUUCAACAUCCGGAUUUUAGCUCCAAAACUGUCCAGCUGUCAGGUGGGACAAUUUCCUAGCUGGAUUUUAAGUAUAGAACAGAGGGAAAUUAUAUUUUGGCGCUGGAGAAGAAAUGUGAGUUUGUACAGAUUUUUAGCUCCUGAAAGCAAGAUGCCAUAUCUUAUUCAUACCUGCGUCUCCCAGAGCAACUAGCUCAGUUCCUUGUUCAUAGAAGAUACUCAAUGGGUACUGAGUUGAAACUGAAUAAAAGUUGCUUCUACUGUAACUUAGAUGUUGGCUGUGAAACUCAGUGAGAGGAACAAAGCAAGACAAAGCUCAGUAAGUAUAUACUGGCUUAUUUAUUCAUUCUACAAAUUCUUAGU